rnacentral:rRNA from 1 species
GACAGAGGGGGCAAGCGUUGCUCGGAAUCACUGGGCGUAAAGGGCGCGUAGGCGGGAUGGCAAGUCGGUCGUGAAAUCCCUGGGCUCAACUCCAGAACUGCCUUUGAUACUGAGGAGCUUGAGUCCGGGAGAGGUGAGUGGAACUGCGAGUGUAGAGGUGAAAUUCGUAGAUAUUCGCAAGAACACCAGUGACGAAGGCGGCUCACUGGCCCGGUACUGACGCUGAGGUGCGAAAGCGUGGGGAGCAAACA